rnacentral:rRNA from 1 species
AUACGGAGGAUGCAAGCGUUAUCCGGAUUUAUUGGGUUUAAAGGGUGCGCAGGCGGCCAUUUAAGUCAGCGGUUAAAUCGUGGGGCUCAACCCCAUUCUGCCGUUGAUACUGGGUGGCUUGAUUGCGGUCGAGGUUGGCGGAAUUCGUUGUGUAGCGGUGAAAUGCAUAGAUAUGAUGAAGAACACCGAUUGCGUAGGCAGCUGACCAGACCGCAAAUGACGCUCAUGCACGAAAGUGCGGGGAUCGAACAGGAUUAGAUACCCUGGUAGUCCGCACAGUAAACGAUGAAUACUUGUUUUCGGCGAUAUAAUGUCGGAGGCAAAGCGAAAGCGAUAAGUAUUCCACCUGGGGAGUACGCCGGCAACGGUGAAACUCAAAUGAAUUGACGGGG